rnacentral:tRNA from 1 species
GGAGAGGUGACAGAGUGGUUGAUCGUGCGAACCUGGAACGUUCGUGAAGGUGUAAGCCUUCCGGGGGUUCGAAUCCCCCCCUCUCCG